GGGGAAUUAGCUCAGUUGGCUAGAGCACCUGCUUUGCACGCAGGGGGUCAGGAGUUCGAGUCUCCUAUUCUCCA
rnacentral:tRNA from 1 species